UCCUGUGUUGCUUACCCACGUAAUGGAAUUCGAUGGAUUUGCUAUAUUGAUCCGCCAUGUGCCCUUUGGGGUAUGGGGUGGACGUGAGACGGGCUCUGUGUUCCCGACAUGCUAAGCGUGUUGUCGCUUUGUUGUUGUGGCCCAUGGAGUCUUGGCUUGUUAUCUAGGAUGCGGAAUGCUACGCAUGGGCGUGAGGUCUUGGCCUCGAUUCGUCCAAGCACUAUCCCUUGACUCAAACGACUGCUGCGCUUGUCUUGAUCUUCCCGACCAAGGCCCCUAAUGGGGCUUACUGGAUGAGGGUUGCUCAUGCGGGUGUCGGUGUCGAAGAGGAAUGC
rnacentral:misc_RNA from 1 species